GACGAACCGUGCAAACGUUGUUCGGAAUUACUGGGCGUAAAGGGCUCGUAGGCGGCCAACUAAGUCAGACGUGAAAUCCCCAGGCUCAACCUGGGAACUGCGUCUGAUACUGGAUGGCUUGAAUCCGGGAGAGGGAUGCAGAAUUCCAGGUGUAGCGGUGAAAUGCGUAGAUAUCUGGAGGAAUACCGGUGGCGAAGGCGGCAUCCUGGACCGGCAUUGACGCUGAGGAGCGAAAGCCAGGGGAGCAAACGGG
rnacentral:rRNA from 1 species